UACAGCUGCAAGCUCUCCACACGCGACAGUGCUUCGCCACCACAGCGUCAGGAAACGUGGCAGUCAAAGCUGAAGCUCCCGUUCCUUCAUGUCCCUCUUAGGUCAUCCUUGGUUCCUGACAAGCUGUGGCUGAAAGGGAAGAAUGAAUCCCUAGCGAAUCCUGCCGUACAACUGUGCGUGACCAGGAGGGCUCUUUUACUCAGCAGCCGAAUAAAAUCUCCAGAGGAACCGUGCACCCUCCCACGUUAGAGAGCUGACCGAGUGUUGCUCCCCCAUGUAGAGAGCAAGCCUGGAGUAGCACCUGCCAUCCCACACGCCUGAAAGAGUAACCUCACUGGAGG
rnacentral:lncRNA from 1 species